rnacentral:tRNA from 1 species
UCCUCGAGGGUUUAGUGGUUAAGAAUCUGCCUGCCAACGCAGAGAACACAGGUUCAAUCCCUGAUCCAGGAA